rnacentral:rRNA from 1 species
CAGCCGCCGCGGGAAUACAGAGGGUGCGAGCGUUAAUCGGAUUUACUGGGCGUAAAGCGUGCGUAGGCGGCUUCUUAAGUCGGAUGUGAAAUCCCUGAGCUUAACUUAGGAAUUGCAUUCGAUACUGGGAAGCUAGAGUAUGGGAGAGGAUGGUAGAAUUCCAGGUGUAGCGGUGAAAUGCGUAGAGAUCUGGAGGAAUACCGAUGGCGAAGGCAGCCAUUUGGCCUAAUACUGACGCUGAGGUACGAAAGCAUGGGGAGCAAACAGGAUUAGAUACCCCUGUAGUCCCUGUCUCUUAUAC